UACGUAGGUGGCAAGCGUUGUCCGGAUUUACUGGGCGUAAAGAGCGCGCAGGCGGUCGGUCAAGUCGGGUGUGAAAGCCCCCGGCUCAACUGGGGAGGGUCACGCGAUACUGAUCGACUCGAAGGCAGGAGAGGGUAGUGGAAUUCCCGGUGUAGUGGUGAAAUGCGUAGAUAUCGGGAGGAACACCAGUGGCGAAGGCGACUACCUGGCCUGUUCUUGACGCUGAGGCGCGAAAGCUAGGGGAGCAAACGGG
rnacentral:rRNA from 1 species